rnacentral:rRNA from 1 species
GCUCAGGAUGAACGCUGGCGGCGUGCCUAACACAUGCAAGUCGAGCGAGAUGUAUAUGGACGAAACUUCGGUCUAGGAAAUAUAUUGACAGCGGCGGACGGGUGAGUAACGCGUAGGCAACCUGCCCUUAACACAGGGAUAGCCUCGGGAAACCGGGAUUAAAACCUGAUAAUGCCAAAUAGUCACAUGGCUGUUUGGCCAAAGAUUUAUCGGUUAAGGAUGGGCCUGCGUCUGAUUAGUUUGUUGGUGGGGUAACGGCCUACCAAGACUACGAUCAGUAGCCGACCUGAGAGGGUGAUCGGCCACAUUGGAACUGAGACACGGUCCAAACUCCUACGGGAGGCAGCAGUGGGGAAUAUUGCACAAUGGGCGAAAGCCUGAUGCAGCAACGCCGCGUGAGCGAUGAAGGCCUUUGGGUCGUAAAGCUCUGUCCUUGGGGAAGAAACAAAUGACGGUACCCAAGGAGGAAGCCCCGGCUAACUACGUGCCAGCAGCCGCGGUAAUACGUAGGGGGCAAGCGUUAUCCGGAAUUAUUGGGCGUAAAGAGUACGUAGGUGGUCUUUUAAGCGCAGGGUUUAAGGCAAUGGCUUAACCAUUGUUCGCCCUGUGAACUGGAAGACUUGAGUGUAGGAGAGGAAAGUGGAAUUCCUAGUGUAGCGGUGAAAUGCGUAG